CCCAGGGAUGAGCCCGCGUAGGAUUAGCUAGUUGGUUGGGUAAAGGCUGACCAAGGCGACGAUCCUUAGCUGGUCUGAGAGGAUGAUCAGCCACACUGGGACUGAGACACGGCCCAGACUCCUACGGGAGGCAGCAGUAGGGAAUAUUGGACAAUGGGGGCAACCCUGAUCCAGCAAUGCCGCGUGAGUGAUGAAGGCCUUAGGGUUGUAAAGCUCUUUUACCCGGGAUGAUAAUGACAGUACCGGGAGAAUAAGCCMVVGCUAACUCCGUGCCAGCAGCCGCGGUAAUACGGAGGGGGCUAGCGUUGUUCGGAAUUACUGGGCGUAAAGCGCACGUAGGCGGCGAUUUAAGUCAGAGGUGAAAGCCCGGGGCUCAACCCCGGAAUAGCCUUUGAGACUGGAUUGCUUGAACAUCGGAGAGGUGAGUGGAAUUCCGAGUGUAGAGGUGAAAUUCGUAGAUAUUCGGAAGAACACCAGUGGCGAAGGCGGCUCACUGGACGAUUGUUG
rnacentral:rRNA from 1 species